rnacentral:rRNA from 1 species
UUUUUAAGUCUGAUGUGAAAUCCCAGGCUCAACCGUGGAGGGUCAUUGGAAACUGAAAACUUGAGUGCAGAAGAGGAAAGUGGAAUCCAUGUGUAGCGGUGAAAUGCGCAGAGAUAUGGAGGAACACCAGUGGCGAAGGCGACUUCUGGUCUGUAACUGACGCUGAUGUGCGAAAGCGUGGGGAUCAAACAGGAUUAGAUACCCUGUAGUCCACGCCGUAAACGAUGAGUGCUAAGUGUUAGGGGGUUUCCGCCCCUUAGUGCUGAGCUAACGCAUUAAGCACUCCGCCUGGGGAGUACGACCGCAAGGUUGAAACUCAAAGGAAUGACGGGGACCCGCACAAGCGGUGGAGCAUGUGGUUUAAUUCGAAGCAACGCGAAGAACCUACCAAAUCUUGACAUCCUUUGACCGCUCUAGAGAUAGAGUUUUCCCCUUCGGGGGACAAGUGACAGGUGGUGCAUGGUUGUCGUCAGCUCGUGUCGUGAGAUGUUGGGUUAAGUCCCGCACGAGCGCAACCCUUAAACUUAGUUGCCAGCAUUCAGUUGGGCACUCUAAGUUGACUGCCGUGACAAACCGGAGGAAGGUGGGGAUGACGUCAAAUCAUCAUGCCCCUUAUGAUUUGGGCACACACGUGCUACAAUGGACAAUACAAAGGGCAGCGAAACCGCGAGGUCAAGCAAAUCCCUAAAGUUGUUCUCAGUUCGGAUUGUAGUCUGCAACUCGACUACAUGAAGCUGGAAUCGCUGUAAUCGUAGAUCAGCAUGCUACGGUGAAUACGUUCCCGGGUCUUGUACACACCGCCCGU